rnacentral:lncRNA from 1 species
GAACAGUCUUAUGCAGUGACUUCAGAUUUAACAUCUCUUUCGUGGCAUUAAAUAAUGACCAUUUUCCAGGGAAAAGAGAGGAGUUCACUGAUGUGGUCAGAAUCUAUUGUUGCUGGAAUGUGAUUUCAGCUCUUGAAAACAGACACAGGGUUUGCAUGUGUGGUACUGUUUCUUACCCAAAACCUCAUUUGCCAGAGAGGAAUGAAUUGAAGUCUACUGGGACCCCAAGACAGGCUAAUAGAAACUGUGUUUUUGCCAGUUUCAGCCCUGAGUACAAGGUUCUGUUACAGGAUUUUUGUUUCCUUCAUCCUGAUGACAGUUUGCUCAUUCUCUAACUGGAAAAAAAUAUUGCAGGAAAAGUUAAGUGUUCAAGAGCUCCUUGCCUCCUUAUUAUUCUCUCCUCAAGUAAGAGCAACGUUCUCUUUAAGUUGCUCUCUUUGUGUUUAAAUCAAAUUUAUCUGAACCUGAUGACUUCCACAUAUUUCUUAUGCUUCUUCCUAAUCUUGUUUACUUGUCUAGGAACCCAGAUUACAGUUUGGCUUGCCUGGGGUUUCUGCAAACAACGCCAGUAUCAGAAGCUGGAGAUGUUGGGUGUGAACAGUCCUGUGAACUCCAAUCCAUCUUGCUACUUCUACUCCAUCUCUUGUGUAGUCAAAGGAAAUAAUCCUUUAUCAGCAGAUGUGGAAGCCCUCAGACAGCCAUCACGCCUCUAAAACAGGACAAAGAGCACAAAAUCAAGGAGUGCUUUCGUGCUGCUGUGUUUUGAAGAAUGAUGUGCUGCAAUGAAUAUAUUUUUCCUGAUUGAUGUGAAAGAUAUAAAAAAAGCUGCUUUUAAAGAUCAUGCUCGUGAAUUGAUCUCAGGAAGAAUGAUUCUCCUAGAAAUAACCUUUCCUAAGUCUGAAAAAAUACUGUUCCAGAAGUAACUACAGACAUGUUUGAAUGGGAUUCUCAGAAUGAGAUUAUUCCUCAGUGCAGAUCUUCUCACCAGUGCCUGUUACAGAAUCACAGAAUCACAGAAUCACAGAAUCGUUUAGGUUGGAAGGGACCUCUGGAGAUCAUCUAGUCCAACCUCCCUGCUCAAGCAGGGUCACCUAGAGCAUAUUGCCCAGGAUCACAUCCAGGCGGCUUUUGAAUAUCUCCAGGGAAGGAGACUCCACCACCUCUCUGGGCAACCUGUUCCAAUGCUCUGUCACCCUCACAGUGAAGAAGUUUUUUCUCAGGUUCAGAUGGAACUUCCUGUGGUUCAGUUUCUGCCCAUUACCUCUUGUCCUGUUGCUGGGCACCACGGAGAAGAGGCUGGCCUCAUCCUCUUGACACUCCCCCUUCAGAUACUUGUACACGUUGAUGAGAUCCCCUCUCAAUCUUCUCUUCUCCAGAAGAGAAGAUGUGAACAUUGUAUGUUCACCAUACAAUGAACCUUUUGAGAGAUGCAAUUAGAAU